CCCCUAGAUGUUCUGGGCCGCACGCGCGCUACACUGAACAGUUCAACAAGUCUUAACCUUGGCCGAUAGGUCUGGGUAAUCUUUGAACGCUGUUCGUGAUUGGGAUAGACCUUUGCAAUUAUGGGUCUUCAACGAGGAAUUCCUAGUAAACGCAGAUCAUCAAUCUGCAUUGAUUACGUCCCUGCCCUUUGUACACACCGCCCGUCGCACCUACCGAUUGGAUGGUCCGGUGAAGCCUCGGGAUUGUGGCGGUUGCCUUUAUUGGUGGCCGCCGCGAGAACUUGUCUAAACCUUAUCAUCUAGAGGAAGGUGAAGUCGUAACA
rnacentral:rRNA from 1 species